GCCCCUUUAAGCAUUUUAUCUUACUCUUUUCAAUGCAACAUAACAAUACAAGUCGUUUAUAAUAUACAUAUUGCCCCUCUAUUCAGUGGAAAAUAUAGGGAGGAGGGUCCACUCCACAUUUGCAUGUGAACUGAAGUAGGUAAUAUUUGAACCUUAUAUCCUAAAAAAAUGCAGAAUUUAUAUACAGUGCAUAUAUGGAUUUGUCUUUGAUCCAACUGAUUUUGAUAUAGCUAUUUGAGUAUGCCAAUAAGUGAAAUCAAAUUCGAACCAUUCAGAUUUCUAAAUAUCACAAGAAAGGAAACAUACAUUCUAGGGAUAUCUGAUGGGUCUACAUGACCGUAACCGAAACACCUCCUUUAGUAUUAGAAAAAGACCAGAUCUGGAUUUGUG
rnacentral:lncRNA from 1 species